UACGAAGGGGGCUAGCGUUGUUCGGAAUUACUGGGCGUAAAGGGCGCGUAGGCGGCGUGUCAAGUCAGGCGUGAAAGCCCCGGGCUCAACCUGGGAAUUGCGCUUGAUACUGCGGCGCUGGAAGGUGGGAGAGGAUGGCGGAAUUCCCAGUGUAGAGGUGAAAUUCGUAGAUAUUGGGAAGAACACCGGUGGCGAAGGCGGCCAUCUGGCCCAUUUUUGACGCUGAGGCGCGAAAGCGUGGGGAGCAAACAGG
rnacentral:rRNA from 1 species